rnacentral:rRNA from 1 species
UACGUAGGGCGCGAGCGUUGUCCGGAAUUAUUGGGCGUAAAGAGCUCGUAGGCGGUUUGUCGCGUCGACUGUGAAAACCCGAGGCUUAACCUCGGGCCUGCAGUCGAUACGGGCAGACUAGAGUUCGGUAGGGGAGACUGGAAUUCCUGGUGUAGCGGUGAAAUGCGCAGAUAUCAGGAGGAACACCGGUGGCGAAGGCGGGUCUCUGGGCAACAACUGACGCUGAGGAGCGAAAGCGUGGGGAGCGAACAGG